rnacentral:rRNA from 1 species
AGAGUUUGAUCAUGGCUCAGGAUGAACGCUGGCGGCGUGCCUAACACAUGCAAGUCGAACGGAGUUUAACGCUGAUGAAGCUUCGGCAGAAUCUUGUUAAACUUAGUGGCGGACGGGUGAGUAACGCGUGGGUAACCUGCCUCAUACAGGGGGAUAGCAGUUGGAAACGACUGAUAACACCGCAUAAGCGCACAGGAUCGCAUGAUCUAGUGUGAAAAUAUUUAUAGGUAUGAGAUGGACCCGCGUCUGAUUAGCUAGUUGGUGAGGUAACGGCCCACCAAGGCGACGAUCAGUAGCCGGCCUGAGAGGGCGGACGGCCACAUUGGGACUGAGACACGGCCCAAACUCCUACGGGAGGCAGCAGUGGGGGAUAUUGCACAAUGGGCGAAAGCCUGAUGCAGCGACGCCGCGUGAGUGAAGAAGUAUUUCGGUAUGUAAAGCUCUAUCAGCAGGGAAGAAAGGCCUCGAAAGAGGAGAUGACGGUACCUGAGUAAGAAGCCCCGGCUAACUACGUGCCAGCAGCCGCGGUAAUACGUAGGGGGCAAGCGUUAUCCGGAUUUACUGGGUGUAAAGGGAGCGUAGACGGUGUAUCAAGUCUGAAGUGAAACCCCACGGCUCAACCGUGGGCUUGCUUUGGAAACUGGUAGACUAGAGUACUGGAGAGGUAAGCGGAAUUCCUGGUGUAGUAGUGAAAUGCGUAGAUAUCAGGAAGAACAUCAGUGGCGAAGGCGGCUUACUGGACAGCAACUGACGUUGAGGCUCGAAGGCGUGGGGAGCAAACAGGAUUAGAUACCCUGGUAGUCCACGCAGUAAACGAUGAAUACUAGGUGUUGGGAGACAUAGUCUUUCAGUGCCGGCGCUAACGCAAUAAGUAUUCCACCUGGGGAGUACGUUCGCAAGAAUGAAACUCAAAGGAAUUGACGGGGA